UGGUUACGGUGGAAACCGUCGUUGAUCAUGUCUCUCAUCAUAUUGUGUAUCACUGCAGGGUAUAAGUGUGAUAAAUCCAGAGGAAAUAUUAGGAAGCAAACUGGAAUAUAAUUGUAGCCAUCAGGAAUAUAUUCUGCCCUAGACCAGAGUGUCCAGCUAAAUAAGUGAUUUGUUAUCAUGGGAUUAAGCAGCUUAAGCUCACAGGAUUUUAUUCUCAGCGCAAAUGGAAGAAAACCCUUAACACCAGACUACUAAAUAGAUGUUAGUCAAAAGCUAUACUCCCAUAGCUUUAGCAUAGUGAUAAAAUUAUGAACCUGGAGAUAUGAAGGAAUAACACAAUCCUGGUAUUAGAAACAGUCUUAGUAGAAGAAAUUUCUCAUCUAAGUAGUGAAGUCUGUUACAAUCCACUUUGUCAUUAUCAAGGCAGCUCACAAACUUAAGUUUGCAUAGCUAAUGAUUCCUUUCAUCAGCAGAGCUCACAGUCUAGAGGGAAAUUUCUGUCGAAAAAAAAAGUUUAUACCCUCAGUGAUACACAUUUUAUUAUGUCUUUUAUUAAAAUCGUCUUUUGAUAUGUCACCGAUCAUUUCUUUAAAAGAAGUGGUGUAUGUUGUCUUCAUUUUGUCAUUUUAUUGUCCUAUCAUGAGUUGAUUGUGAGAACUAAAAUAAAUAAGAAAUUUUAUAUAC
rnacentral:misc_RNA from 1 species